GAUGAACGCUGGCGGCGUGCCUAAUACAUGCAAGUCGAGCGAACAGACCAGGCGCUUGUUCCUCUGUCGUUAGCGGCGGACGGGUGAGUAACAUGAGUAUAACCUACCUAUCUGUCUGGGAUCAUUUCGGGAAACCGGAGCUAAUCCCGUAUAAUAUAUUGCACCAUACUGUUCGUUAGUGAAAUACGGUUUUUGUGGCUCUUAUCGAUGCUUCCCCGCCGCAUUUGCUAGUUGUUAAGGUAACGGCUUACCAAGGCAACUAUGCGUAGCCGAAGUAAGAGGAUGGUCGGCCGCACUGGAACUGAAACGGGGUCCUGACUCCUGCGGGAGGCAGCAGAAGGGAAUCUUCCGCAAUAGGCGGAAGCUUGACGGAACGGGGGCAAGUGAGUGAUGGAAGUCUUCGGAUCGGAAAACUCUGUUAUUGGGGAUAAACAGAUGUGGAAGUAGCUGUACACGGCUUGACGGUACCUGAUCAGGAAGCCCCGGCUAACUACGUG
rnacentral:rRNA from 1 species